GACGAACGCUGGCGGCGUGCUUAACACAUGCAAGUCGAACGGUAAGGCCCCUUCGGGGGUACACGAGUGGCGAACGGGUGAGUAACACGUGAGCAACCUGCCCUUGACUCUGGAAUAACAGUUGGAAACAGCUGCUAAUACUGGAUAUUCAUCGUCUCCUUCCUGGGGGGUGGUGGAAAGCUCCGGCGGUCAGGGAUGGGCUCGCGGCCUAUCAGCUUGUUGGUGAGGUAAUGGCUCACCAAGGCCUCGACGGGUAGCCGGCCUGAGAGGGCGACCGGCCACACUGGGACUGAGAUACGGCCCAGACUCCUACGGGAGGCAGCAGUGGGGAAUAUUGCACAAUGGGCGCAAGCCUGAUGCAGCAACGCCGCGUGCGGGAUGACGGCCUUCGGGUUGUAAACCGCUUUCAGUAGGGACGAAGGGUGACUGACGGUACCUACAGAAGAAGGACCGGCUAACUACGUG
rnacentral:rRNA from 1 species